UUCCGGUUUGAAAAAUGUUACUUCCGAUUAUAUUUGAAUAUUUACUUGACACUAAUUCCAAAAAUAUCUGGUUCUAUAUACUUUUAUAUUAAUAAAGUACAAAAAAAUAGCUACUUCCGGUUUACAAAAGGUCACUUCCGGUUGUUUUUUUCAAGGUUAAAUGGUUUGAUACCUUUUUCUAAAAGUUGUAUAUCUUUAUCAUGUAUACAUAUAGAAUAAAAGCAAAGGUCAAAAUCUAGAACGCCAAAUUAAGCUAUGACCUUGAGAUCAAUUUCAAGGUCAUAAACCAAGGACCUCAAAUCAAAAGACCAUAGGUCUUAAUUAUAUUUAGUUAAUGAGUUAUAUCACCAAACG
rnacentral:lncRNA from 1 species